rnacentral:lncRNA from 1 species
UUUUGGGUGAAAUCCAACGGGAAAAAAGUAUGCAAUACACCAACCACUCCAUUUCAUAACGAACUUCGUGCGAACCUGUAUUGUCCAAUUUCAUGGACCAAUCGAUAUCGGAUUUAGUCCAAAACUUGGGGAUCAUCAUAAUACGGUGGGAGGUGUCAUUUCGUGGGUUUUGAGUGAAAUUCAAUCUCUACAACUAUGCAAUACCCCAACCACUCCAUUUCAUAACGAACUUCGUACGAACCUGAAUUGUUCAAUUUCAAGGACCAAUCGAU